GUGACUUUCUAGACAUAAAAUGUCACUUUUUUCACCUUAUCAUACAUUUUCAUCAACUUUUGCACUUUAAUGUAAACAAUCAUAUUUCGUAAUAUUUUGGGUCAGAAACAUUGCAUAGUACUAUAUUAUGUCUAAAUAUGUGAAAAGAAUCAAAUUGGAGUAGGUCGGGCAACUGAUUAUAUGAGUUUGUUAGAAAAACCACUUUCCUUUGCUCCUAGCGCCUUCUCGUUCGCUGUAUAGCGUUUUGAGCGGAUAAAGAGCACAAGUGUGUAAGGGGACACAGGAUGAAUGGGAACUAGUUUUGUUAUUGUACUUUUGAUGAAAAGAGACUUUCUAGACAUAAAAUGUCACUUUUUUCACCUUAUCAUACAUUUUCAUCAACUGUUGCACUUUAAUGUAAACAAUCAUAUUUCGUAAUAUUUUGGGUCAGAAACAUUGCAUAGUACUAUAUUAUGUGUAACUAUGUCAAAAGAAUCAAAUUGGAGUAGGUCGGGCAACUGAUUAUAUGAGUUUGUUAGAAAAACCACUUUCCCUUGCUCCUAGCGCCUUCUCGUUCGCUGUAUAGCGUUUGAGCGGAUAAAGAGCACAAGUGUGUAAGGGGACACAGGAUGAAUUGGAACUAGUUUUGUUAUUGUACUUUUGAUUCAAAGUGACAUUCUAGACAUAAAAUGUCACUUUUUUCACCUUAUCAUACAUUUUCAUCAACUUUUGCACUUUAAUGUAAACAAUCAUAUUUCGUAAUAUUUUGGGUCAGAAACAUUGCAUAGUACUAUAUUAUGUCUAAAUAUGUGAAAAGAAUCAAAUUGGAGUAGGUCGGGCAACUGAUUAUAUGAGUUUAUUAGAAAAACCACUUUCCUUUGCUCCUAGCGCCUUCUCGUUCGCUGUAUAGCGUUUUGAGCGGAUAAAGAGCACAAGUGUGAAAGGGGACACAGGAUGAAUGGGAACUAGUUUCGUCAUUGUACUUUUGAUGUAAAGUGACUUUCUAGACAUAAAAUGUCACUUUUUUCACCUUAGCACACUUUAUCAUCAACAUUUUACAUUUUAAUGUCAACAAUCAUAUUUCGUAAUAUUUUAGGUCAGAAACAGUUCAUAGUACUAUAUUAUGUGUAAAUAUGUGAAAAAUAUCAUAUUGGAGUAGGUCGGGCAAUUGAUUACAUGAGUUUGUAGGAAAAACCACUUUCUUUUGCUCCAAGCCCCUUCUGAAGCGAUGUAUAGCGUUUUGAGAGUAUAAAGAGGACAAGUGUGCAUGGGGACACAGGAUGAAUGGGAACUAGUUUUGUCAUUGUACUUUUGAUGAAAAGUGACUUUCUAGACAUAAAAUGUCACUUUUUUCACCUUAGCACACUUUAUCAACAACUUUUACAUUUUAAUGUAAACAAUCAUAUUUCGUAGUAUUUUAGGUCAGAAACAGUUCAUAGUACUAUAUUAUGUGUAAAUAUGUGAAAAAUAUCAUACGGGAGUAGGUCGGGCAAUUGAUUACAUGAGUUUGUUGGAAAAACCACUUUCCUUUGCUCCUAGCGCCUUCUCAAUCGCUGUAUAGCGUUUUGAGUGUAUAAAGAGCACAAGUGUGUUUGGGAACACAGGAUGAAUGGGAACUAGUUUUGUCAUUGUACUUUUGAUGAAAAGUGACUUUCUAGACAUAAAAUGUCACUUUUUUCACCUUAGCACACUUUAUCAUCAACUUUUACAUUUUAAUGUAAACAAUCAUAUUUCGUAAUAUUUUAGGUCAGAAACAUUUCAUAGUACUAUAUUAUGUGUAAAUAUGUGAAAAAUAUCAUACGGGAGUAUGUCGGGCAAUUGAUUAUAUGAGUUUGUUGGAAAAACCACUUUCCUUUACUCCUAGCGCCUUCUCAAUCGCUGUAUAGCGUUUUGAGUGUAUAAAGAGCACAAGUGUGUUUGUGAACACAGGAUGAAUGGGAACUAGUUUCGUCAUUGUACUUUUGAUGAAAAGUGACUUUCUAGACAUAAAAUGUCACUUUUUUCACCUUAGCACACUUUAUCAUCAACUUUUACAUUUUAAUGUAAACAAUCAUAUUUCGUAAUAUUUUAGGUCAGAAACAUUUCAUAGUACUAUAUUAUGUGUAAAUAUGUGAAAAAUGUCAUAUGGGAGUAGGUCGGGCAAUUGAUUACAUGAGUUUGUUAGAAAAACCACUUUCCUUUGCUCCUAGCGCCUUUUCAAACGCUGUAUAGCGUUUUGAGCAUAUAAAGAGCACAAGUGUGUAUGGGUACACAGGAUGAAUGGGAAUUAGUUUUGUCAUUGUACUUUUGAUGGAAAGUGACUUUCUAGACAUAAAAUGUCACUUUUUUCAGCUUAGCACACUUUAUCAUCAACUUUUACAUUUUAAUGUAAACAAUCAUAUUUCGUAAUAUUUUAGGUCAGUAACAGUUCAUAAUACUAUAUUAUGUGUAAAUAUGUGAAAAAUAUCAUAUUGGAUUCCAUCGGGCAAUUGAUUAUAUGAGUUUGUUAGAUAAACCACUUUACUUUGCUCCUAGCGCCUUCUGAAGCGCUGUAUCGCGUUUUGAGCGUAUAAUGAGCACCAGUGUGAAUGGACACACAGGAUGAAUAGGAACAAGUUUUGUUAUGGUACUUUUGAUGAAAAGUGACUUUCUACACUUCAAAUGACACUUUUUUCACCUUAUCAUCAAGUUUUACAUUUUAAUGUAAAAAAUCAUAUUUCGCCUUAUUUUAGGUCAGAAACAUUUCAUAGUACUGUAUUAUGUCUAACUAUGUGAAAAAUAUCAUAUUGGAGUCCGUCGGGAAAUUGAUUAUAUGAGUUUGUUAGAAAAACCACUUUCCUUUGCACCUAGCGCCUUCUCAAGCGCUGUAUAGCGUUUUGAGCAUAUAAAGAGCACAAGUGUGUAUGGGUACACAGGAUGAAUGGGAAUUCGUUUUGUCAUUGUACUUUUGAUGAAUAGUAACUUUCUACACUUCAAAUGACACUUUUUUCACCUUAUCAUACUUCACCAUCAAGUUUUACAUUUUAAUGUAAACAAUCAUAUUUCGUAUUAUUUUACGUCAGAAACAUUUCAUAGUACUGUGUUCUUUCUAACUAUGUGAAAUAUAUCAUAUUGGAUUCCAUCGGGCAAUUGAUUAUAUGAGUUUGUUAGAAAAACCACUUUCCUUUGCUCCUAGCGCUUUCUCAAGUGCAGUAUAAUGUUUUGAGCGUAUAAAGAGCACCAGUGUGUAUGGACAACAGGAUGAAUGGGAACAAGUUUGUUUAUGGUACUUUUGAUGAAAAGUGACUUUCUACACUUGAAAUAACACUUUUAUCACCUUAUAAUCGAGUUUUACAUUUUAAUGUAAAUAAUUAUAUUUCGUCUUAUUUUAGGUCAGAAACAUUUCAUAGUACUGUAUUAUGUCUAACUCUGUGAAAAAUAUCAUAUUGGAGUCCGUCGGGCAAUUGAUUAUAUGAGUUUCUUAGAAAAACCACUUUCCUUUGCUCCUAGCGCCUUCUCAUGCGCUGUAUAUCGUUUUGAGCGUAUAAAGAGCACCAGUGUGUAUGGACACACAGGAUGAAUGGGAACAAGUUUUGUUAUCGUAAUUUUGAUGAAAAGUGACUUUCUACACUUGAAAUGACACUUUUUUCACUUUAUCAUCAGGUUUUACAUUUUAAUGUAAACAAUCAUAUUUCGUCGUAUUUUAGGCCAGAAAUAUUUCAUUGUACUAUGUAAUGUCUAACUAUGUGAAAAAUAUCAUUCUGGAGUCCGUCGGGCAAUUGAUUAUAUGAGUUUGUUAGGAAAACCACUUUCCUUUGCUCCUAGCACCUUCUCAAGCGCUGUAUAGCAUUUUGACCGUAUAAAGAGCACUAGUGUGUCUGGACACGCAGGAUGAAUGGGAACAAGUUUUGUUAUGGUACUUUUGAUGAAAAGUGAUUUUCUACACUUCAAUUGAAGUGUAAGAAAUCAAAAUGACACUUUUU
ensembl:lncRNA